UGGGGAAUUUUGCACAAUGGGGGAAACCCUGAUGCAGCGACGCCGCGUGAUUUAGAAGGCCUUCGGGUUGUAAAAAUCUUUUCUAUGGGAAGAAAAUGACAGUACCAUAGGAAUAAGGACCGGCUAAUUACGUGCCAGCAGCCGCGGUAAUACGUAAGGUCCGAGCGUUGUCCGGAAUCAUUGGGCGUAAAGGGUACGUAGGCGGGUAAGCAAGUUAGAAGUGAAAUCCUAUAGCUCAACUAUAGUAAGCUUUUAAAACUGCUCAUCUUGAGGUAUGGAAGGGAAAGUGGAAUUCCGAGUGUAGCGGUGAAAUGCGCAGCUAUUAGGAGGAAUACCGGUGGCGAAGGCGACUUUCUGGCCAUAACCUGACGCUGAGGUACGAAAGCGUAGGUAGCAAACAGG
rnacentral:rRNA from 1 species